UGCCAGCCGCCGCGGUAAUACGGAGGGUGCAAGCGUUGCUCGGAAUCACUGGGCGUAAAGCGAACGCAGGCGGAUCGUUAAGUUGGGUGUGAAAGCCCGGGGCUCAACCCCGGAACUGCAUUCAAAACUGGCGGUCUUGAGUACGGGAGAGGGAAGUGGAAUUCCUGGUGUAGAGGUGAAAUUCGUAGAUAUCAGGAGGAACACCUGUGGCGAAAGCGACUUCCUGGCCCGAAACUGACGCUCAUGUUCGAAAGCGUGGGGAGCAAACAGGAUUAGAUA
rnacentral:rRNA from 1 species